rnacentral:rRNA from 1 species
CGUGUAGGCGGCCGACCAAGUCCGAUGUGAAAGCUCGGGGCUCAACCCCGAGUCUGCAUUGGAAACUGGCCGGCUUGAGUCCGGAAGAGGAGACUGGAAUUCCUGGUGUAGCGGUGAAAUGCGCAGAUAUCAGGAAGAACACCGGUGGCGAAGGCGGGUCUCUGGGACGGUACUGACGCUGAGACGUGAAAGCGUGGGGAGCAAACA